rnacentral:rRNA from 1 species
UACGGGGGGGGCAAGCGUUGUUCGGAAUUACUGGGCGUAAAGGGCUCGUAGGCGGCCAACUAAGUCGGAUGUGAAAUCCCCAGGCUUAACCUGGGAACUGCAUCCGAUACUGGAUGGCUUGAAUCCGGGAGAGGGAUGCAGAAUUCCAGGUGUAGCGGUGAAAUGCGUAGAGAUCGUGAGGAAGACCAGUGGCGAAGGCGGGUCUCUGGACAGUUCCUGACACUGAGGCACGAAGGCCAGGGGAGCAAACGGG